UACACCAAAUUAUUCCAAGCCCCUGCAAAUAUUUAUAGUGAAAAGGAGAGCUGAACCUUGGCCACAGCAAAACUGGAGGUGGUGCUUGAAAAAACCUGAGAGGUUAUAUUUUAAUCAAGGAAACCAUUUGAAUGCUGAACCAAGAGGGAAGGGUUUGCAAAGGUUUUACAUCCCUGAGGUGGAACGUUGUUGGGUUUGGAGAGUUUUUGGCUGGAAAUGUGAGGGAGGUUGGGAAGGGAAGCCUUGGCUUUUCCUGGGCAGUGUGUGUGUGUAACGGGACAUUUUGCUCUUGGAAUGUGGUCAAACAACUCAAACAAGGCCCUGUUUUGCCAGGUUUUGGUGUUGAAUUCUGCUAAAACCAAUCUGGCUCAUCAACUCCAAAUUAAUCUCCUGAUAGUGAGGCAAAGAUUUGGCAGCUGAGUUGCUCAGCAGACCUGGGCACUUGACUAAAUCAGUCCCUUUAUGCUCUAAAAGCCCAGGCCACUUCCAGACCAUCAGAUUCUUCCACCUUAACCCUUCCUGGAGUGUGUGGAGUUUCUCCCUUGUGAUGGGGACACUCCUGGAGGUUCAGAGAGAGAGAUCUGCUCACAGGCUUUGGUUUGCUGAACCUGGAUUAAAGGAGAAUUGAUCUGGCAGGAGAUUUAUUUAAAUGCCAUCACCUGAAUCCUCAUCCCCACACACCUGGGGAAGCCCUGGGGGGAGUUGUCUGGAGCUGAUGGUUCCUGUUCCACUGUUCUCCCCAAGGAACUGCAGGAAUCCACAGGAUCAGAACAUCUUUCCAAGCUGCACCCCAUGAAAUCCAAAGUGUUCCUGAGGACUCUCCGAGCAAAGCUUUGGCAAUUCCAGAUCUUCAGCCAAGGUCUUUUUCCAAUGUUGAUGAGAAGCUGAAGAACAUUUUGAGGUGCCACUGGAACCAGGAGAACAAUGACAGAAACACUGAAGAGCAAGCUGUGUGUGAGCUGCUAAUUGAAGCCAUCUCCUGGGCUCCAGCUGGUGGAGUUCCAGCCGGGAGGAGGGAGGAGGCUCCUUCGGCGUGGCAGUGAAGGAAACCUGAGCAUGUGUCUGAGUAAACGCAGAAAUGGGGCCUGACACUUUAAUUCUGAAGGUGCAUCACUGUGAGUAGAAACAUCUCGUUAAACUUUGGCUCGAGGGCCUGGGGUGGCAGGGCAGGGAGUGGUGGCUUUAAACUGAAAGCCAGCAGGGUUAGGUGGGAUACUGGGAAGGAAUUCCUGGCUAGGAGGGUGGGAAGGUCCUGGCACAGGUUGCCCAGAGAAGCUGUGGCUGCCCCAGGAUCCCUGGGAGUGUCCAAAGCCAGGUUGGAGCAAUCUGGGAUUAGUGGAAGGUGUCCCUGCCCGUGGCAGGGAGGGGAACAAGUUGAUGUUUAAGCUCCCUCCCAACCCAAACCUCUCCAUGAUUCUGUGGUUCACUGAGCUAAAAGUAAAAUAGUCUAAAAUGACAAAUAAAGGGUUCAGGUUUAAAGCAAAACUUUCUGUCAUUUCUGAAAAUAAACUCAACAGCUUUAACAAGUUGCAUUUUUGGUGUUUCCAGUUGACAGGUCCUUUUUCUCUCUAUCUAUUUUUUGAGUCUUAUCUUUCUACUCUGCUUGUCAUGACUACCUGAAGUUCUGUGAGACAGAGGCUUUGGUGACAUUAUUAACUUCAAAAAGUUCCUCUCUCCUUCACUUUACAUUGUAUUCAACUCCCGAGAUAAGUUCAUGGUAAUAUUACAUAAAUCUGAUCCCAUUUAUUUCAAGGUAUUGGUUGGAAGAAAGUUUAUCCUUCUCUCUAUCUUUAGGAAUUACCCAAAGGUGUUAAAAGUCCAAGCCUAACUAUUUUUCAGAAUUAGGCUGAUGGGGUUUGAUGCCUUUCUGAAGGAAUAACAUGAGAAAUAUGCCCAGGAUAACAAGAUAAGCCAGGAGGUCCAAUUUUCCUGAUAAUUUUUCUUAAUUAUCAUUUGGGGGCUUUUCACUCUGGGCUACUUGGUUAUAUUGGUAAUAAAAAUAAUCCCCCUGUCAUAGCUUGGAAAUAGCCAACAGCCAAGUAAGUCUUUUGCAUCUAAUUCUCCUCAUCUCCACAGACCCUGCAAGCUGCCUGCAAGGUAUAAUUAAUUUAUAUUUCGUACCCCAAGGAGGAAAAGUUGAGUGUUCAUCAGCCUGUAUGUUCUGACACUUCAAUGAAUUAUGAUCAGGGAUGUUAUCAGUGUUUAUUUGAAUCCCCCAUGAUAAACAAACCUGUGUUAUUCGCCCUUCAUUUCCUUCUUGAAUGUAAUAAAUCAAAUUCCAGCACUGAUCAUAUUACAUCCACUUAUUAUUAUGAUAAUUCAGACUAGUAGAGGGCCUGAUCUUGGUGCUCCUGGAGGUGGAUUUCACCCGAAAUAAUAAAAUCCAAACACAAUGCCCGGGAGUUGGCUGUGGGUUGAAAGCAAAUCUCAAAUUUGAGUUCCAGCUUUAGAGUUGCUUUGUGAUGUAGAAUUUCUUCACAGGGCAAGAGAAGCUGCACAGUUCUUAGUCCAGCUCAUAAAUAUAUUUCACAGAAUAUCCCAAAAUAUGCUGAGUUGGAAGGGACUCACAAGGAUCAAAGAGUCCAAGCCUUAGCCCUGCACAGGACCAUUUGUGGAUGGCUUGGGAGCCAGAAUUCCAGCUCCUUAUCUGACAGAGCAAAAAGCCCAUUGCCAGGAGCUCUUGUUCUAAUGAUCUGCAUUAUUUUGGCAAUUUCAGGUGAGUUUGUAAGCAAUUUUAAUUUUACAGAUAUUGAAAGUAUGCCUUUUCCCAAAAUAGUAAGUAUUAGUACGAUUUUCAUCUGGAGAUUUUUAUUCAUUUUAUUGCCUUCUAAUUUUGCAUUCUAUUUUCUCUUCCAAUUCUAAAAUGAGCUGUCAAAAAGCCAGGUUUUUGUGUCUAGCGAGUGUGCAGAGAGAAAAGAAAAAAGUCACAUUUCUCUGUUCUUUUAUGUCCUUAAUUUACCAGGAGAACUCAGUCUGACCCAGGACUCCAACAGGGAGAAAAACACACCUAUAGAACAGCUCAUGGAAAGAAAGAAAAUAGCAAACAGCAAUUAAAUGUGAUAUUCUGGUGGAUUAAUUUAUGGAUGAAGCAAAUAAAUCUGAAAUUAUAUAUAUAUUAUCCUUUUCAGAAAUAUUAAUUAAGUGCUGGUGAACUUAAUUAAGGUCAUGAAGGGAUUACAUAAAUCAAACAUUGCUCUUAGGGUGUUGCACCCUUGACAUUCCCUGUGUAGGGAAUCAUGGAAUAUUGGAAUAUCCAACUCUUUUCUUGUCUUCCUUCCCCCUCCUUUAGUUUCUCCCUCUGGAAAUUUGUACACCUUGCCAAAGUAACCCUGUCCUGGGCAAAUUUAUGGGCUAAUUUUUUAAAUCCAGGGAAAAUAUUCCCAUUCCCGUGAGGCAGGUGAUGCUCAACACAGGGAGAUGAGGCAGCUCCAAAUUCUUCUUUAAGAACUAUCUGGAAAUGCUGUUUUCUUCUGAAUCCUGAUCUUCUUGCCCUUUCCCAGUCAUGUUUGCAAAUGGCAGAGCCUUCAUGUCCCUAAAUCUUGGGAAAAUUCCCUUUAAAGAGGUCAUCUGAAGUCACUGGCCAAACCCUGAUGUUUGCUUUUCACCCUGAAAUAUGGUAUUUAUUGACUUUCCCUUCUGAAAACCAGACAACUUUGUUGUCAUCAUUUGUAAUUAAUAAUGCUUGGCAUGUUUUGCUGCACAUUUUACUGUCCAUAUUUAUAGAACUUAAUUAAAUUCAACAUCACAUUAGGAAUACAUAUAUAUUAAAUCCCCGAGUCAUGGUUCUUCUUCCUUUUUUUUUUUUUGUGUUCCUCCCCACAUACAUUUAGUAAAAGAAACAUUUCCAAAAUUCCCAUCUGUUCCGUACGUAAAUCCAGUUAAUUAUACACUGAUUGACAAGGCUAUAAAAGGACAUUUUUUGGGAGAUGAUAGGUUUAGAGGCUGCACUAAAAAUUACCAUGUGUAGGCAUUCUGCAGUUUUCCCAUGGAAACUCUGUGUAGGAGUCAGGGAGAUACAAAUAACACAACAAAAUGUGCUCUGACUGUCACCCCUGUGGUGUCACAAAGGUUUUGGGUUUUUUGGCACGUAUUUACCCCUCCUGGAGGAAAUGUGGGUGUUGGGAGGGAUCAGUUGGCAAUUGGGCACCUUGAACACAGCACUGAGGGCUGCAAAAAUGAAUUUGAGGCAUUAAAACCUUGGAAUUGAACCUUAAAUGCUGGACUUUUGUCUAAAUAUCCGUGAUGCAAGAUGAGCCACUCAGUUUCUUUUUUAAUAAAUUUUUUUAAAAUG